rnacentral:lncRNA from 13 species
AUGAAAACAACAAAAGGAACCCCACAGAUUUUUUUCCUUUGUGCAGCAAUUUUUCUAAAAUGCAUGAACAGAAUGAAUGCCACCAUUUUCUCUCUCUCGUAUGUGUGUGUGUGUGCGUGUUGUUUUGUGUUUUAUGUGUGUAUGCGUUGUGUUGUGUGCGUGUUUCUGUGUGUUGUGUUUGUGUGUGUGCGUGUUGUUUUGUUUUAUGUGUGUGUAUGCGUUGUGUGUUGUGUGCAUUUUGUGUUGUGUGUGUGCAUGUUGUUUUGUGUGUGUUGUGUGUAUGCGUUGUGCGUGUUGUGUGUGCGAACAUUGUGUGUUGUGUGUGCAUGUUUUGUGUUUGUGUGUGCAUGUUUUGUGUGUUGUGUGCACGUGUUUUAUGUGUGUGUGUGUUGCAUGUGUGUGUUGUAUGUGUGUGUUGUGUGUGUGUGUGGUGUCUACGCUCACUGGGGUUUCUGGGUUGCUGGCUUCGCCAGGGUGUGGCCUUGGGAUACAAGAGCUAGAGUGAAAGCUCAGGGAACUCCCUGGUGUGUUGUUCCUCAAGUUCCCUUGCUGAUCUGUCUUCUCUUUACCAUUCAGUCUUCUCAGGUUUGCCGUGCUUAG